CGUCGCCGGCCCGCCAUUUGCCUGAAUGAACCCAGCGUCCCAGUCCACUCUUCUUCAUCUUCUUCUUCUUCUCCGUUUUGCAUCCACUGGACAAAUAGGUUGGGAAUUUUUUUCAAUGUUUAGUGUUGCUAUUUUGAAAAGGUAAUUGUGAGGGCUAGGGCCCAAAAUAAUGUAUUGGGCCUUGUCCGAGGAUACUAACAAGUCCGAUGAGAGAAACACGGCUUAGAUGAUCUACGUUGCAAGUCUCAUCAGCGGGAGACAAAGGGAAGAAGGUCCGAGGAGGAACCCCUCCUCGGACACGACAAACGCAGACCAAAUGUGUACUCAAACAGUUAAAGUGCACCCCUUAAACAUGUGAGAGGGAAGAAAACUCAAAAUAUCUAAGGAAAAACUGCCACCACCACAUUAAAUGUACUACAGCUACUUUUUUGGUCACAUUAACGUGACGAAGAUCCUCUGAACAGUGCUGUCUUAGUUGACGCAACUCACAAAGGGCUGAAAGGGGUGUCUAAUGGGAUAGGUACUCAAGUAGGGAUCCAGGUGAUCAACAAGUGUAAGGUCCAGAUGAUCAUGAAGGACCUAUAUAAUGUGGAAGAGCCCCCAAGAAGAAAGGAGGCAGAAAAAAGAGUGAGAGAGAAUAUUAUAGCAUGCUAAACAAUCCUAGUAUUGUGAUCUAUAUAUAUAUGGUCUCCUCGGACGAAAGGUCCUCUGGUCAUAAUAGCUUUUAUUCAUGUUUGGUUGAUUCUUAACUCCAUGCUAACCGUUGCCCAACUCAUCUAGAUCUAGUUCUUUGACCCAUACUCUACAAGAUUCAUUAUAUUAGGCUUAUUGGACCAGGAUUCCAUACACUUUGGCUUGGGCUCCAAACUUUGUCCUUACAGUAAUAAAAUUGGUGCGUUAACUAUGGUA